UACAGAGGGUGCAAGCGUUGCUCGGAAUCAUUGGGCGUAAAGGGUAGGUAGGUGGUCUCAUUUGUCUGGGGUGAAAGCCCAGGGCUUAACCCUGGAAGUGCCCCGGAAACGGUGAGACUGGAGUCCUGGAGAGGGUCGUGGAAUUCCCGGUGUAGCGGUGAAAUGCGCAGAUAUCAGGAGGAACACCAAUUGCGAAGGCAGCUCGCUGGAACGUUACUGACGCUGAGACGCGAAAGCGUGGGGAGCAAACAGG
rnacentral:rRNA from 1 species